AUUUUGGACAAUGGGGGAAACCCUGAUCCACCCAUCCCGCGUGUAUGAUGAAGGCCUUCGGGUUUUAAAGUCCUUUUGCCAGAGAAAAAAAGUUACCUCCUAUAACGAGUUCCGGCGGACGGAAUCUGCAGAAUAAGCCCCGGCUAACUACGCGCAGCCAGCCGCGGUAAUACGUAGGGUGCAAGCGUUAACCGGAAUUACUGGGCGUAAAGCGUGUGUAGGCGGUUCGGAAAGAAAGAUGUGAAAACCCAGGGCUCAACCUUGGAACUGCAUUUUUAACUGCCGAGCUAGAGUAUGUCAGAGGGGGGUAGAAUUCCACGUGUAGCAGUGAAAUGCGUAGAUAUGUGGAGGAAUACCGAUGGCGAAGGCAGCCCCCUGGGAUAAUACUGACGCUCAGACACGAAAGCGUGGGGAGCAAACAGG
rnacentral:rRNA from 1 species